rnacentral:rRNA from 1 species
UACGUAGGGGGCAAGCGUUAUCCGGAUUUACUGGGUGUAAAGGGAGCGCAGACGGCAGCGCAAGUCUGAUGUGAAAUCCCGGGGCUCAACCCCGGAACUGCAUUGGAAACUGCGCAGCUCGAGUAUCGGAGAGGUAAGCGGAAUUCCUAGUGUAGCGGUGAAAUGCGUAGAUAUUAGGAGGAACACCGGCGGCGAAGGCGGCUUUCUGGACAGUAACUGACACUGAGGUACGAAAGUGUGGGGAGCAAACAGG